GCAUUACAUAGAGCAAAGCUGUGCUGCGUGGCCUUUACCCACUGCUAUGAAGGAGCACCGUUGAAGCACAUGGCAUACUCCCUAAAGCCUCUGUAGGUCAACUCUACUAGAGGAGGUCACCAGAGUGGCUCACAGCCUGUCCACACAACCCUAACAAACCCUCCUUGCUAAAUGCAGUGGACUGAAAUAGGUGCCCCUUGGUCAUUCUGAAGACUGACAACAUAGAUGCAAGCAGCCUGGAAACCACCACUCAAGACAAUCUAGUGGUUUUCACACCUUCAAGAAACAGCUCUGUGCAGAAGUGGAACCAACGCAGACAGAAGUAGAAGCUUUUCUGGAGGUCAGCUGCAGACAUGCUGCUGCUCACAGGACAGCUUGUAAUAAAAUUCCUGGCAGCCCACAGCACAGGAGGAACACAAUAGCACAAUAUGCUGUGGAAGAUACUGAGGUCUACGUGUUCUCAUGUUCAGCAAGAAAAGAAAGGGGACCACAAGAGUGGCUUGCUCACCAUCAAGAAUUGCCCACUGCCCGUCUAUUUCUGUGUGCUUCAGGUAGGAGUCUUCAAUAGUUGGGUCAUAGUCUGGCACAAAAAUCUUCUGGAAAAACUGAAUGGUGAGAGCGCUCUUCCCCACGCCGCCAUCUCCAACCACCACCAGCUUGUAUGUGGGGAGGUUUUCGCUGGGAACAGCGCUGGUAGCCAUGCUUCCACUGCGCUAAACCUGCCGGAGAAAGAGACCAUCUCUGAUUACUUGUUAGUGAAAAAUGAGAGCAAUGUGCACCAGGCAACUCUGACCUGGUGCCUAAGAGGUGAGGAAGAGCUCCACAGCUGGGAACCAGGGAGUGCUUCACACUGCCAUAAACCAUCAGCAUCCUGACUGGUACCCACAUUAAGCUACCAAAAUCUUGUGUGGGGUUCUCAUUAACUGUAGGGAUUUCCCUCAACUAAGAGCACUUCCUAGCUUUGUCAGGAACCCUGGCUGGCAAUGCUACCCACAACAGCAGGGUUGGAACUAGAUGAUCUUGAAAAUUCCCUCCAACCUAAGCCAUUCUACGAUUAUGGCCCUCCAAGUUUAGUCUUUGCUUUCUCUAGUCCUGUUCUCCCAAACAACUAUUUCAGUUUAUUGCACAUUACUGAACCAUAAAGGCAUUUCUCACUUACAAUGGUUGGGAGUCCCACGUUCCUUAUUAUAUAGCAAAGACCCUACCCUUCGACAAAGGGCUUUUCACAGCUCUGCUAACCAGCUUCUCCCCCACACUACACACCCGUUUUCCCAUGCAUACGGGCAAAAACAUGAAUGGAGGCAAAAUAAAAUCAGAUGUGAAAAUUCAAAUUGGAGUUUGUUUUACUUAUAGGAAAAAAGAUUCUCAGCCCAAAGCAGCCUGUGGAAUCCAAGCUGUAAUCAAAAAUGUAUCCCCUGAAAUAUUUGGUGCCAGCAAGCAACCCCAAAGUCUGCUGUGAGAAUACUGUUCAAGUCAUAGCAAUGCUCAAAGACAACGUAAAGAUAAUGUGAAUGAUUCACCA